ensembl:rRNA 5S_rRNA 5S ribosomal RNA
GUCUGCAGCCAUAUCACUUAGGGCUGUGAUCUAAUCAGCUUUCAUAAACUAAGCAGAGUCAAGUCCUGGUCAGCACUUGGAUGGAAGACCUCUAAGGAAAUCUUAGGGAGACAGAGG